rnacentral:lncRNA from 1 species
GGUCUCUUUCCUGUCCUGCCAUGGUAAAGAAGUGCUUAUUUCCCCUUCGCUUUCCACCACGAAUAUUUUUCCUGAGGCCUCCCAGUCAUGCUUCCUGUUUUGCCUGCAGAACUGCAUUUAUGAAGUAGGGACCUGGAAUUGAAGAGACUCCUAAAGGAGAGACAGAAGUUUGAAAGAGCAAGAAGAGUGGAUGUGGAUCCAGACAGAAAAAGAGAACAGCAAAUAUUUGAAAGAGCUUAAGACGUACUCCUCAAGUGGGUGAUUUAAAGACUAAACUACA